UUCCUGAGCCAUGAUCAAACUCUAGAGUUUGAUCAUGGCUCAGGACGAACGCUGGCGGCGUGCUUAACACAUGCAAGUCGAACGGUGACCAGGGCUUGCCCUGGUGAUCAGUGGCGAACGGGUGAGUAACACGUGGGCAACCUGCCCCUGACUUCGGGAUAACUCCUCGAAAGAGGAGCUAAUACCGGAUACGACCACUUCGGACAUCCGAUGGUGGUGGAAAGUUUUUUGGUCAGGGAUGGGCCCGCGGCCUAUCAGCUAGUUGGUGGGGUAAUGGCCUACCAAGGCGACGACGGGUAGCCGGCCUGAGAGGGCGACCGGCCACACUGGGACUGAGACACGGCCCAGACUCCUACGGGAGGCAGCAGUGGGGAAUAUUGCGCAAUGGGCGAAAGCCUGACGCAGCGACGCCGCGUGAGGGAUGAAGGCCUUCGGGUUGGUAAACCUCUUUCAGCAGGACGAAGCGAAAGUGACGGUACCUGCAGAGAAGCACCGGCUAACUACG
rnacentral:rRNA from 1 species